rnacentral:rRNA from 1 species
UGGGGAAUAUUGGACAAUGGGGGGAACCCUGAUCCAGCCAUGCCGCGUGUGUGAAGAAGUCCUUAUGGUUGUCAAGCACUUUAAGCGAGGAGGAGGGUACUGGUAUUAAUACUACCAGGUACUGGACGUUACUCGCAGAAUAAGCACCGGCUAACUCUGUGCCAGCAGCCGCGGUAAUACAGAGGGUGCGAGCGUUAAUCGGAUUUACUGGGCGUAAAGCGUGCGUAGGCGGCUAAUUGAGUCGGAUGUGAAAUCCCCGAGCUUAACUUGGGAAUUGCAUUCGAUACUGGUUCGCUAGGGUGUGGGAGAUGAUGGUAGAAUUCCAGGUGUAGCGGUGAAAUGCGUAGAGAUCUGGAGGAAUACCGAUGGCGAAGGCAGCCAUCUGGCCUAACACUGACGAUGAGGUACGAAAGCAUGGGGAGCAAACAGG